rnacentral:lncRNA from 1 species
CAGCUUCUAAUGCAACUGUACUCACAAGAACUGUUAGUACAUCACGAGCAAUUAUAGAAAGCACAGGAUAUUUGUGUUGAUGUGAUUUCCACCAUAUUAAAAUAUCAAAAUCUUCUUGAUCUUCAAAUGAAAUUAUAUCAGUAUGAAGAUAUUUAUCUAAAUCAGAUGUAUUAUUUGGAGAACUAUUUGUUGUCUUUUUUCGACUUUUCAACAUUUCUAGAGCUCCUUUAUAAAAAGAUGAGGAGUUUGUAGAUGUAGGUGGUAAUUUAAUAGUAUUAAUAUCAUUACCAUAUUUUUCUUUAUAAUAGUUAUAUAAAUUAUAUAAUAAUGAAUUUAUUUCAUUUUUAAUUUCUUCAAUUUUUAUUUGGUCAUUAAAAUAAAUAAUUGUUAACCAUUCAUCCAAAGCUUCAAAUUUCAAUCUAGGGUCCACAAUUAAAGCAAUAUAAAAAAUUAAAGGUAUUUCUCCCCAAUAUUUUCUAAAUUUUUCUAUCAUUGCAAAUAUUGUAUCAUUAAAUAUUUCAGAACUUAAAUAUUUUUGAAGUACAAUAAAAAUAUUAGUUAUUUGCAUAAUAACUCGAUUUGAAGUUGGAUAAUAUACACCACAAAAAAUGUUUGUUGAAGUAUAAAAAAUUUCAAAAAGAUCUCUUAAAAGAUCCGCAAUAUGCUAAUCAUAAUCAUUUAAUGCAUAAAUAUCUGCUUCACAAUCAUUGUUAAUUACUUGUAUUUCAUAUAAUUCGACUACUUUUCUAUAUUUUGUAAUAUUUUGUAAAAGUUUAUAUGUGGAAUUCCAUCUAAUGGCCAUAUCCAAAUUUAUAUUUUUUCUUUUCAUAUUUAACAUUUUGCAACAAUCAAAAAAUAAUUCAUGUUUUGCUUGAGAACUAUUAAUACUAUAUGCAAUGCCUCUAAUUUUUUCCAAUGUACUAUCAACAUUUUUUAAUCCAUCCUUUACAAUUAAAUUUAAAAUAUGUGCACAACAACGCACAUGAAAUAUUUUAGCAUGAUCUUCUUUUACUUGCCAAUAUUGUUUUAGUCUAUGUAUUGCUGCAUCAUUAUUAGCAGCAUUAUCUAAUGUUAUUGUCAAUAUUUUAUCACGAAUGCUUAAAUCUAUAAUUUCAUCAUUUAUUAAAGAUACUAUAUUUUUACCACUAUGUGGAGCAUUUAUUAAUUUAAAUGAAAUUAUUCUUUUAUUUAAUUUCCAUUCAUUAUCAAUGUAGUGAGCAGUUAUACAUAAAAAAACCAGUGUGAGUUAAAGAUGUCCAAAUAUCAGAUGUUAAACAAAUAUUUCCUUCAAAAUUUGCAAUUUUUUUUUUUUUAAAAUUUCUUUUUGUGUAUAAAUUUUUUUCAUAAUAUCUCUUUUAACUGUAUUUCCAGACCAACCUUUAAAUUGAGGAUUAAUACCUCGUUGAAUUGUUCCUGCAAAAUCAUGAGUUUACAUCAUGUUGAAAGGUUGUUCUACUCUUAUUAUAUAAUCAAUCAUUUCUUCACGACAGUUAGAUUCAUCAUAAGAAAAUGUUUUUAAAUUUCCACUUUCAUUUUUACCUAAUUGCAUAUAAUUUAUAAUAUCUACAUUAUUUUUAGUUUUACAAUUUUCAUGAUGUCUUUUUAAAUGACUUGUGCCUGCAUUUGAGCCACCAGUAAGAAAUUUAUUACAAAUUUUACAUUUUGCUUUUAUUUCUUUUUUAUUAUUUUCUAAAAUUAUUUCUAUUCUAUAAAAAAAAUUCCAUAUAUUUGAAGUAAAUUUUUUGUUUGAUGAUAUUUCAUCACAUGGACUAGAUGAAGAAGCACUUGCCAUAUUAUAAUUAUUGAUAAAAUAUUAUGCCAAAAAUAAUAAAUUAAUAAAUAUAAAAAAAAAUGUAACAAAAAAAUAAAGUAGUAGGGGUGAAGUAUGUUACUCAAUUAGAGAACUGAUGCAGAAAUUCCUAGCAAAUUUGAACUCUUGGAGCCACCAAUGCUUGUUUUGCAUCACCAACAAUAUUGUAUAAUUUGAGGGAAAAAUAAAAGAAUUUGAAAUAUUGUAGAAUGUGAGAGAAAUAGAGAGAAUUUGAUGAAAAAAUGAAAAGGAAGAAAAUGUAUUUAUAGGAAGGUUAAAAAAAAAAAUUCAAAAUUCAAAAUAAUUGGCCAUGUGACCAUUGGA